rnacentral:rRNA from 1 species
AGUAGUUUGAUCAGUGGCUCGAGGACGACGCUGGCGGCACGCCUAACACAUGCAAGUCGAACGGAGAAUGCUUAGCUUGCUUUGCAUUCUUAGUGGCGGACGGGUGAGUAACACGUGAGCAACCUGCCUCUGAGAGAGGGAUAGCUUCUGGAAACGGAUGGUAAUACCUCAUAAUAUACAUUGACCGCAUGAUUGAUGUAUCAAAGAUUUAUCACUCAGAGAUGGGCUCGCGUCUGAUUAGGUAGUUGGUGAGGUAACGGCUCACCAAGCCGACGAUCAGUAGCCGGACUGAGAGGUUGAACGGCCACAUUGGGACUGAGACACGGCCCAGACUCC